GUGCACAUAGUGUAGUUGGUUAUCACGGCCGCUUAGCUCUCCUGAUCUAGGACGAGUGCCUUCAGGCGGUCCCUGGUUCAAAUCCGGGUGUGUGCA